GAGCAACAGAGUUGCCGAAAGGUCAGCACUCAGAUUACACAUUAUAAAAUGACAGGAUUCUGCAAAAUCCACAUUCUUAAAGCCUGAGGGAGCUCUGAGCCCACUUACCAGACUGGUCCCUGCAGGCAAGUCAGGUGAUGCCACCAGUUCAUGUAUUCACUGGGGAGUCUGCACACAAGAGUGGAGCAGCAGCAUGCAUGUGCAAAGACCGACACAUAGGCGUCUAGGGAGCCUUUACUGCAAAAAUGAAGUUUUCAAGAUUUCAAGAGCGUUUUUACCUUAGGAGUCUGCAACAAUCCAGGCCGCCAUUAGAAGUCUCCUUAUUUCAUUAUUGUUCAGGCAGGCAUGAUACCACCCAGGAAUUAAAUUUUGUAAGUGUAGCCAGCACCGUCCAGACUACUACUGCUGCUCAAAAUAAAAGGCCCUACAAACUUCUGGAUGGACUAGGGAAGACUAAGAAGAGGAACCAAUCCUGUCCUUCCCCAAACCCUGGCUCAGAUUCACAAAAGGAGCACUUCUUUUAGCUGUACCUCUUAGAGUUGGCUAUAUGUCAAAGCUGUAGUACUUUCAUGCUGGCAUUCUGUGGAAAUCUUUUUGCACUUUCCAAUAUAUUUUAAAAUAGUCUUCAGACCUUUUCCGAGUGAUGAAAGGUAAAUUAUUGACACUGCUUUAUCAGUUCUCAUUUGCUUCCUACAUAAACACUUUUCCCCAUCCUAGGUGUUAGGCCUGGACACUGCUUUUUCAGCUGCAUUAUUUUAA